UACGGAGGGAGCUAGCGUUAUUCGGAAUUACUGGGCGUAAAGCGCACGUAGGCGGCUUUGUAAGUAAGAGGUGAAAGCCUGGAGCUCAACUCCAGAAUUGCCUUUUAGACUGCAUCGCUUGAAUCAUGGAGAGGUGAGUGGAAUUCCGAGUGUAGAGGUGAAAUUCGUAGAUAUUCGCAAGAACACCAGUGGCGAAGGCGGCUCACUGGCCCGGUACUGACGCUGAGGUGCGAAAGCGUGGGGAGCAAACAGG
rnacentral:rRNA from 1 species